UAGACCUUCAUCAGAUGUCUUAAGUCACUUAUAGGGAGUCAUUCCUGUUAUUUCUUACUUCAUGCUUUCUCCUUUUGUGGAGAUAAGUUUGUACUGAUAUCUCAUUCAUAGAACAUGGUUGUGUACUGGAACAGAAAAGAAAGGAGAGAUGGGCGGUGGAUGGUAAGUGCGAGCAGGUGUGGGAGGGGCACUAAGAUCAGGCCACAGCUCAACUUCACAGGAAGUUGAAGAGCUACUUAGCCUUUCCGAAAACUCAGCCUCACUAAAACAUUGACACUGAGGGCAAGUAAUCGGUGGGUUGAAAAUGGAGAAAUGGUCAUGGGAGAGAAGAGGAAUGACUGGCAGGGUGGAAAAAUGGAGGGGAUAAAGCUUCACAGAAAGACUUCAGAGGAAACUUUACACCUUCAAAACCACAGAUGUGAAGAGUAUAGAUCUCUAUACACUUCAGGGGAAAAACCUGUGCCAAUAAUGGAUUGGGUUCCACGAUGUAAAAGGAAAAACAAAUGGACUUUUUUCAUUACCUCAAUUUCUCAUUAUCUACAUCAACUCAGAACUGGCAAGAAGGUCCAUAGGGAAGACUAAAGGUUUUAAAAGGGGCUACUAUGAGUAUUAUGGGUUCUGUUCCACACUCAGAAAGGACAGCAGGAAGUACCCCCCAAC
rnacentral:lncRNA from 1 species